CUGAAGUUUGGAUUAAAUGAAGCUAGACCCUCAUAAAAACCUAAAUGAAUGUUAAAAAAAGAAUAAAUUUAAAAAUCAAAAUCAGAAAAGGGAAAGAAAGGUUAACAUACCUGUACUAGUCGAAGGUGCAGCAAAAACAGAGCCUAGUUGAGCUCAAUUUAUUUCUAUUUUGGAAAGGGAGUUAGGGAUAAGUGAAUAGCUUAAGAGGAACCUAAACAUCAUUAGAAAAUC
rnacentral:lncRNA from 1 species